GACGAACGCUGGCGGCGUGCUUAACACAUGCAAGUCGAACGGAAAGGCCCUGCUUUUGUGGGGUGCUCGAGUGGCGAACGGGUGAGUAACACGUGAGUAACCUGCCCUUGACUUUGGGAUAACUUCAGGAAACUGGGGCUAAUACCGGAUAGGAGCUCCUGCUGCAUGGUGGGGGUUGGAAAGUUUCGGCGGUUGGGGAUGGACUCGCGGCUUAUCAGCUUGUUGGUGGGGUAGUGGCUUACCAAGGCUUUGACGGGUAGCCGGCCUGAGAGGGUGACCGGCGACAUUGGGACUGAGAUACGGCCCAGACUCCUACGGGAGGCAGCAGUGGGGAAUAUUGCACAAUGGGCGGAAGCCUGAUGCAGAAACGCCGCGUGCGGGAUGACGGCCUUCGGGUUGUAAACCGCUUUCGCCUGUGACGAAGCGUGAGUGACGGUAAUGGGUAAAGAAGCACCGGCUAACUACGUG
rnacentral:rRNA from 1 species